rnacentral:tRNA from 1 species
UGUGAGCAUAGCUCAGCUGGAUAGAGCGUCUGACUACGGAUCAGAAGGCCGGGAGUUCGAAUCUUCUUGCUCACAUC